CCAGCAACACUGUAAGUUAUAUACUGAUACUGCGAUUGUUAAGCGGCCCGGGAAGCUGAGGUAUAGGACAGUAAAUAAAGAACUCGCUCAAAGUCGCACAAUUACAGACAGACACAAUCAAAACUCCAGUCCUAUCCACUCAUGGCCAGAGCCUGCUGCUUGUCUAGCAGGUCAGUGUUGAGAGGAGCAGAGCAGACCUUUUCCUCCGUAGCUAGAAUACACCUGAGCAAGGCAAACAGAAGCCCCAGUCAUGUGCUCUCCUUCCUUCUUUGUGUGGACGAGUCUUGUCUGACUUGGGGCUCUUUCUUUCUUCCCCGUUUCUGUUACUGUUGCCUUAGAUUCCUAAAGAGUUAUUUCCACGGGAACAAAAAGAACGGAGAAACCAGGCAGGCUCUGAUCUUGUCCUGUCUUGCGUUUUAAAAUAAGGUGUUGUGUGCUCACAACAGCGGCGAUGAAUUUAUACUGGCUACCUAAGCAGAAUGCCUACCCAUCCUUUUCAGGAUUGCAAACCAAUCACAGUUUAAGUGGAGACAACUAUAAAUAUCCCCUAUCGCUUCAAGUAGUUGAAACCUGAUCCCCGAUUCCUCAAGGUAAUUCCAAGCCCUGAGUUCGGCAGACCACCUCCUUACUGUUUUAUUCAUACAAACAUGAGUAUUCUGUUGGCAGUGAAUAGAGUUGCUGUUUCGGAAAUGCUGUUCUCUGACUGCUCAGAGCUCAGUGAAGUAAAAUACACCGGCACAAACCAUCGUGUUAUUGAUCCUGAUAUCGGGAUAUCUAAAGCCCAGGCUAAAGAGAAGAGAUUAGCUAUUCAGGGGAUCGCUAUGGAUAACACGUCCCUCUUGGAUAGCAGAAGUAAAGAAAGGAGAAGUGUGUGUACGCCUUGGAUGAUGGGGGCGAUGGUGCCCCAGGAACAGCCUCGCCAUCCAGUUAUUUACUCAGGUCCACCCGCUCUUCAAGAAACAGAGUCUUCUCCACAUUUCCAUUUACGUCUCUUCACCGGGGCUAUAAGAGGUAAGCUGAGGAAGUGGAGAGGCAGCAGAAAGCACAAUAGAAAAGAGAAUUACUUCGUUUUAUAAAGAGCCUUGGCCGUAAGGGGAGGGUGCAGAUGCCUCCCCAACACUGUCAAUAGUCCACCAUGGAUCAGGCCUGAGCAGCUAGAGAUGAAGACAAAAUUCUAAUUCUAAAGAAGUUAGUUUUCUGUAUGGCCGUGGCUUGUAGCCCCGCCUGUUUCACCUCUGCCUCCCCGCUUUAGCACUAAAGAGAGCCCAGGUUUACCUUGGUGACUACUUAUGGGCACAGAUCCUGAGGCACGAGGACCCAUGUGCCCGUACUCUCCGUUCAUCAUGUACCAUGCAUGCAACUCACCCAGUAUUGGAGAAAGGGGAAACACAGACACCAGAGGCAAACUUGUUUCUAUGACUUCUUUUUUAACAUGUAAGCAUACAUGUAAGGCUUACAAACUAUAGACUUAUAUAUCCCUCCCCCCAAAAAAAUCACAGAUGGUAUUAAAUGUCCUUUUCACCAAUGUUUUAUCUCUUACACAUACGUGAGGGUGAAAGAGGCUUAAAAUGGAGUAUGUGGAACAUGUAACUGCUUUGCUAUGCUUCUCCUAAUUCUGUUUGUUUGUCUGUUUGUUUGUUUUUGUUUUUAAAACACGUUCUCAUGUAUUCUGCGCUGACCUCUAAUUCUCUGCAUAGCUGAAGAUGACAGUGAACCUCUGAUAUUCGUGCCUCUCAUAGCAGCUGCUUUCCUGUUGCUGGGAUAAAACACCAUGACCAGAAGCAACUUUCAGAAGACAUUUAUUUUGACUUACUGUUCCAGAGGGAUAAGAGUCAAUGAUGUAGGGGUUAGGGAACACCGGUGAGGAGCAGGCAUUUUGAGACAGGAGCAGAAAACUGAGUUAUAACAUCAGGAAAGAGAGAGAGAGAGAGAGAGAGAGAGAGAGAGAGAGAGAGAGAGAGAGAGAGAGAGGGAGAGAACUAGCUGCGGGAUGCAGCCACAUAUUCUCGAAACCCACCCCCAAGGACACACUUCCUCCCGCAAGGCCCAGCCUCCUCAGUCUCCCCCAGACACCACCACCAACCGGGGACCAAGUGUUCAAACACAGGAGCCUGUGCAGGGUAUUUCUUAUUCCAAGCACUACCCUCUGCCUCUGCAGGACUGGGGUUUCCAGGUGUGCGUUAGGAUGCUUGGUCUGCGCAGCACUGGGGAUGGCUUUGCCCACCCUGGGUAAGCAUUCUACCAACUGAACCAUGUCUUCAUCAUCCCCGUGUCCUGCUUUCUCACUCAGCAUUCCAGAAUAAAGUUUUUUCCCCCAAUUCAUUUCUAUAUCUUCUGAAAAUAAACCUCAAAGAAACGAAAGCAAAUCCAGGAAGUAACUACUCUGUUAUUGUAGAAAAAUUAAUGCUCGGAGUAAGGGGACGAGCAAGUGAAGAAACCUACUUUGCAGAUUGUGUAAAUUUGGUUCAAACCAUUUGAACGUGUUAAGGCUCCUGCAACAUUUUACCUGAUGCUCUCUGGGAGCUGAGCAACGCUCAUACCUACUGGCACUCAGUAAUAAGAUUUGGUAAUAAGAUUAAAAGGUGGGUAGGUACAUUCUAGACGUUUUCUAAGUCACACAUUGUAUUAGAUACUUCAGAAUGUAGCCAGGUGUGGCACAUGACUUCAGUCCUAUCACCACUAAAGAGGUACAGGUAGGAUGAUAUAGAGUCCUGGGCUACUUGAGACCCUGUUUCAAAACCAACCAGAAUCGAAUAGAGUUACAUAUUGUAUUGAAUUCCUCAGAACAGUCUCUCGUAUUACAUUCAGCCACCACCAUAGCCAUACAGAAGUCACACAACCUGCAGCCAUGUCCUAGGCUUUUGUCUGUGAGGAAAGACCAACAGAGAUAAAGUGGACACUCGGCACGGCAGCGAGUGUGUGAUAGGAACGGGCAAAUGCAGGCAUACCCAGGAAAGCCACUAGCCUGAGCAUGAGAGGAGAGAAGAGAAAGCCACUGUUGAAUCAUGAAGAGCUGCCAGGUACAACACCAAGCACUGAGGUUAUGGUUCACCCGGCGUGGAGAUCUGAAAUGGUUUCUUCCAUAUUUCCUUGACUUCAUUAUCGGUGUAUUGUGGUGUCUCAUGGACUGGGAAAGCAAGCAGACAUCUUUCCAUAACUGAGGUGCAUCCUUGUUGGAUUUGCCAGGACACCGGCCUCUGUGUUUAACUUUGGCUCUGUCACCUUCUGCUUAGUCACUGUCCCUCCUGUCAGCUGCCAUCCUGAACUGCUGAGUAAGAGAAUAGCCGGGAUGGUGUGCCUGGCUUAGAGUUGGUUUUUUGGUUGGUUGGUUGGUUGGUUGGUUGGCUGAUCCUCCCCAGCCCCACACACCCACACCCCACACCCCACACCCCCACUGUCUGAGGUAUUUUGAUUGAUGCUCCUGUUUGUGCUGUAAAGUGGUGUACCUGUGCAUGGCCCUGGGUUGAACUCUAGAUGCAGAAACCAGACAAACCUGACAAAAUAUCACUGGCAAAUCAACACACUGAGAGAACAGGGUAUAACUCAGUGGGAAUUGUUGCCUGCAAAUGCUGGAGUAAAACCCCAGUGUUGGUUGGGUGGAGAACUCAACAUGAGUGAGGUAUCUAUGAAAACAUAAACAGUUGGUUAUAAAAACAAAGGUCCUGUGUGAAGCCAUUGGUCAUAGCUUGUCUGUGGGAGAACAGGUAUCUCUGUCCUUUAUUUCCAUACAUUCAGGCCAACGGGGCUUUGAGAAGCAACCCCACAUUAGCAUCAGAGCACUUGGUGUGGGAUCUAACCAUGGCUGUUUACAAAGUUCAUGAUCUCAGGCAAGUCAUGUAGUCCUCAUAGGUGUGUAGGUGUGCAUUGCAGGCAAGAAGCAACCUUUUUGUUCUGUUUUGUGUACAAUGUGUGUGAGCACAGGCAUGUGAGCAUGGUGGCUCUGUGUGUGUGUGUGUGUGUGUGUGUGUGUGUGUGUGUGUGUGUGUGUAGGUGUAUUGGGGUGUGGGUGCAUGUACUCAUGCCUGUACAUAUGGAGGUUGGAGGACUGUUUUUCUCCCCUUUAUUUCUUUUAAGAUAUGGUCUUUCCUGGACCCCAAACCAUUUCCUAAGGUGGACCAGCAAGCUCCCAGGAUCCUCGUGUCUCUGCCUCCCAAGGCUGGUGUUACAGGGAAGAGCAGUCAUGUCCUACAUUUUAUAUAAGUGCUGGGGAUUUUAACUCAGGUCCUUAUGCUUGAGCAAGCUUCCUUAUGUAUCAAGCCAAUGUGCCAGCUUAUUCAAGAUGAGAUCUCUCACUGGCCUGGAACUCUUUAAAUAACCCCCAGGCAUCUGUCUGUCUCUGCCUCCCCAGCACUGGGAUUGCAAGCCUGUGCCUCCACACUUGGCUUCUUAAAACAUGGUUCUGGGCAGCUGGAGAGAUGGCUCAGUGGUUAAGAGCACUGACUGCUCUUCCAGAGGUCCUGAGUUCAAUUCCCAGUAACCACAUGGUGGCUCACAACCAUCUAUAAUGGGAUCCGAUGCCCUCUUCUUGUGUGUCUAAAGAGAGAGAGUGACAGUGUACUUACAUACAUUUAAUUAAUUUAUUUAUUUAUUAAUUAAAUUUCAAUCUGAUGGUUCUUAAUGGUUCUGGGGAUUGAACUCAGGUCUUCAUGCUUCCAAGGCAAGCACUUUACUGGCUGAGCUAUAUUACUGCCUCAGCCAAGGUACUUAGUCUAAACUUCCAUUUAAGGGAAGCUCAAAACAUCUUCUACAUUAGUUAUAACUAAUGGUGGUUAGGCAGCUCUGCCAGGUCCAAGACAUCCAUCUCUUAGUCCAAGGUUCAGAUUACAUGCUCAUAAUUGCACGCCAACCACUGGGAUCAUGGUCAAAGGCACAAAUACCUAGUCAUUUGCAGAGCCCAACCUGGAAACUACACACUUCAUUUCUGCUUACAUCCUUCCCACUGGCCAGAAUGUAGGAAACUUGAACAUGUUCUCACUGGCUAAUCACGUGUUAAGCAAAACUGAAACAUUUUAUUGUAAAAAAGAUAUUGGGAGUCAGCUGGCAACAUCGGUCACAUUGACCUACUGGAACUAUUGUGAACACUAGUGGGGGAAAUACUUAAGAGAAUCAGUUGUGAGUAUUCUCAGUUCCAAGAAGUUUCAUUGCUCUUUAUCCUAUGUCUUUUAUAGGCUAUUUCUACCCUUUAGAAAAUCUAGCCAGUUUUGUGUUAGGAUAUUAUCAUUAAGAGACUGCCUCUGGCCAUUGCAUGCACAGCUACAAAGUCACAUUGUAAUGAACUAUCUCUGUGCCAAUCUAAACUUGGUCCCACACCACAUAUUUUCCUUUAAGAGCAGUCUGUAACAAAAAUUUAUAUUGCUCCUACCAUGACCAGCUCCAGGGGUUCUGUAGUAUUGACCUAAUUAAUUAUGAGUCUAAUGAUCUUCAUCUCCCAAAGUCACCCAGACAAUUAGCGAUGAGGUCAGAAUUUAGACAAGGCUGAGGCCCUGGAGAUAAAAUCACAACUCUUACGUUGCUCUGCCUGCAACAAAGUAGACAGGCAGUCCUAAGGUGAGCUUCCUCUAUACUUAGAAUACUCCUAACACAUUGUGCCACCUUCUGCCCACCUAGGACCUAGCUUUGUAGGAGCCAUGUUUUCUACUCACGAUAGAGGAAGAUUAUAGGAUAAAGGCAUCGAAAUGAAGCAUGAAACGUGGUAGUGGAUGUAUUUGUGAGAGUCAGUGAGGUUGUGGAAUCCACACCACAUGUAAGAGGGGACAUGAGAGGAGCCAGACAAGACAGUCUUGCUAAGCAGAAGGAAUUGAGGUAAGAAUUCUCCAGCCAGCCUUCCUACAGCCAAGAGCAGGUGCUGACUUGGACUUCUACGGUGGUAGAAUGACUUUUCCCUGAGAAAACGUGUUCGUGAAAAGACUCCAUUUCUACCAGGUAAGAGGAUCUGCUGACCCACUUCUCUGAAGCUCCUAAUCCAGAACUGACAUAAACAAAUUCAAUUCUGAGACUUUGUGACAUGAAGCAAUCGUCUCCUAAUUGUGCCAAAUGUCAAAAGCAGUUGCCUCAUGAAAACAAAGGUCAAUUAUGGUGGUUAAAAAAAAAAAAAAGAAGAAGACAUAACGUCUGCAGACUCAAAUGGGUCAGAGCUAAUGUGUAUGUGUAUGACUGGACACAUACAAAGAUAGCAGGUAAACAUCCAAAAAUCUAGAUCAAAGGUGAACAGAAGUUUACUUGCUUGUCCUGCUUAGGUUUGAUCCCUUUGCAAUCUUAGUAUUAGAUCAAAGUAGAAAUGCACCCCCUAAAAUGUAAAUAUAUUCCUUGAGGUGUUCAUUUACCAGCGUUUUCUCAGACAGUACCUUAACAAUAAAGUAUUUGGCAACUGACCGAGAAGCAGAAUGGGGUCCAAAGAAUACCAUAUAUAGGGUAGGGCUUCAAAAGUGGAACUCCUGCUUCACCCAUAUCACGUCUGAACUUGCACCUGAAACGUUUUCACAGAACCGUGUCAAGAGAUAAAGAGAGAACUUUAAAAAGCAGGAAGGUAUAAACACAGUCAGGUGGGCAACACUAAGAAACGGCUGUAAGAUUCCCUUAAACUGUCUAUGUAUUAUGAGAUUCCACACGUUAAUACUAAGAAAACUCCAAGGUUCCCCUAACAGUGAGCACUCUAAGCCUAUUCUAUAUCAUUGUUCUGAGGAAAGAAAUCACUCAACAAUUAACAUAUGCUUCUGGCUUUCUCAUUGCUGUAUGAUCAGUCAUGUGUUUAGUAAAUAAAUAUCUGCUACUGUCGUCCUUACACACCCUGAUUUUAUCCACCUUUGGUGGUAUUUAGAACAUGUCCCUAUCUUGCUGCAGGCUCACACUGUUAAGCUGAGAGAUUACUCUGUCAUUCUGUGGAUCCUGAGAACCCAAGUCUUGACUCGUGGAGUUGGUCAUGUACGGAAAAGGUACUCUGCCUUGUACCAACACAUACUUCUCAAACAUGCGCUCCUGCUAUCUGAGUGUCUGUAGCAACAGUCAGUCAUGGAGUAAACCUUGAUAAAGUAUCAUGAUGUUCAAAAAAAGACAGGCCACUGCUGCCCACAACAAACAGAAGGUGCCCAUACUGGCUAGUUUUGUGUCAACUUGACACAAGCUAGAGUCAUCAGAGAAAAAGGAACCACAGUUGAGAAUGUGCCUCUAUGAGAUCCAGUUGUAAGGUAUUUUCUCAAUUAGUGAUCAGUGGGGCAGGGCACAGCUCUUUGUGGGUGGCGCCAUCCCUGGACUGGUUGUCCUGUGUUCUGUAAGAAAACAGGCUGAGCAAGCCAUGAGGAGCAAGCCAGAAAGCAGCACUCCUCCAUGACCUCUGUAUCGCUCCUGCCUCCAGAUCCCUACCCUGUUUGAGUUCUUGUCCUGACUUCAUUUGGUGAUGAACAGCAAUAUGAAAGUGUAAGCUAAAUAAACCCUUUUCCUUCCUAACUUGCUUUUUAAUCAUGAUGUUUCAUCAGAGUAAUAGAAACCCUAAGACAGUGCCCAAAGUACCAUACACCAAGUCUCUCAUUGCCACAUUGAAUCCCCUGGAGAACAUCAAGGUUGGAAGCAUGACUCAGCAGUGUGGAUCUCAGGGUACAGGAUCUGGGAAUUCAGCAAGACACAUGGUCAAAAGCCUUGCAUUGGGCAGACAAGCAAAGAGGAAGUGUGUGCUUGGUUACCAGCAAAAGCACAUCCUCUCCUAUUAUAUCCCUUGAGUGUGUUGUUGGGGGAGUACCUCUCUCCAACAUAUCAGCAUGACAGUCUCAUGACCUAAAUGUUAAAAAAAAUAUGUAACCAUCAGAAAUUAUAUAUACCAUAAAAAAGAUAGUCUGUCAGCCCAUAAGUUGUAUGACCAAAGCCAAGUUAUUCUUUGCUUCUCUUUCAAGAUGUAUAUUUUAAAAUAUAGAAACAAGAAAAAAGAGGAAGAAGAAGAGGAAGGAAAAUUAAGAGUUGAAGAGCCCUCUCUACCUUGUGCCUGAUGGCCCAAACCCUCUACUCCCAGCCAUUUUGCUAACCUUUGCACCUGUGAAUGGCUAUACAUAGGAAAUGACAGACAGCAACAGCAUCAUUGCAGCAUUUGUGCACACCCUCCUUUCCUCCAGAGCACUAGAAGUUUAUGAGCACAGAGCAAGGCAGACUGAGCCAUAACUUACAUGCAGACUUUAGAGAAAGCUGAAAUGUUGAUAGAGACUAGAUCUCAGCACUAGUCUGAGGCAAGCACUGGGAGUCGGGGACUAGGAGGACCAUGAUGCACCAGAGCAGAGCCCAGGGAAUGGAAGAAAACACAGGGCUUGAGAUCACUUCAGGAGGAGCCCAGCUCUUCAGGGGCAGAGGAGACUUCAAGAGCCCACACUGCUCUACUGGGAAAGUGGUUUUUGCCUGUGAAGAGGCAUAAAGGGACAACACCCUCUUAGAACAAUAGUUGUCUAGGAAACAGCACAACUAAACACCAUAUAGCAUUCUAUCACAACCGCAUCUACGGAGUUUCAGCUGGUUGGAACCAUGACUUUGAGUGACCCCUGUUUGCCAAAACCUCAAGUCUAACUGAAACUUGUUUCCCAGUCAAUGACCCGUAAUACCUGUUUUGACUAACAUACAGCCCUGUGGAUGCCUCUCUUCCUAUGCACAGUGCUAGAGUUUUGUUUUAUUUUGCUUUGCUUUGGUUUGUCUUGAGGUACUAGGAUGGAACCCAGGGUCUGGUCUCAGUGAGCACUCCAUCAUCGAAUUGUAUCUCCAGCCCUCUCCAUGUUUUUAAAUCCUUAAUUUGUGACAGUUAAGUUUUGGCUCUUGUUCAACAAAAACCUUAACUUUUUUUUCAAGUGCUGAGGCUCCUCCAUGUAUAGUCAAAGGUAAGGGAUAAUUUCACGUCAUUCCUUUAGGAGCUAAAGGUCACUCUGGCCCCAGAAAGACUUAUAAAACCAACAAACUUCUGGAGAGAUAAGCUAGCACUUCCUAGUGUCAAGUGGCGAGGGAGGACAACUUCAAGGACAUAGAUACAGAGCUAUGGUCAUGUCACUCCUGGAAUCAAAGCUGUUGUUCCUGGGACCUACUAUACCCCAGCACCUUGGAGUCACCGUUUACAACAGCAGUGGGAAGAAAGGAAAACCUGGUGUACUAAAGCUGUCAGCAUGGCUCUUCCCAUGGAGCCCAGGUCAAUGUGCCAGUGGCAUUUUCAAGCUCUGCCAUCUUUUCUAACAGACUGCACUACUGUUGCCAUGACAACUGCCAGUUCAUUUUAUUUAGUUUCCAGUGUAUCCACAAUCAUCAGCUGCCCCACCUGGAGUUUAUCUCCUGGUCACUGCUGAUAUGUCCAUCAUUUGGAAGACCAACCACCCCUAUUUGCCUGGAACCAAGUGGUUUCUUGGGUCAUGAGACUUUCACGGGCUUCCCCAUUGCUCCAAGGAAACAAGGAUAUUUAGCCUCUCUCUCUCUCUCUCUCUCUCUCUCUCUCUCUCUCUCUCUCUCUCUCUCUCUCUCUCUCUCUCUCUCUAAGACAGGAUUUCUCUGUGUAGCCUUAGCUGUCCUGGAACUCACUCUGUAGAUGAGGCUGUCCUUGAACUUGGGAAUCUGCCUGCCAUUGCCUCUCUAAUGCUGGGAUUAAAGUUCUGCACAACAGCCACUCAGCUGGAUGUUUGUUUAUUCUGGCACCAUAGCUGCAAAACCUGCCACUAGCUUCUGUCUUGGAAUCCAAGAUAGGCAUGGCGCCCGGAUUGCUGGUUCAUGCCUGUGAUCUAGCAGUCAGGGAGAUAUUGAUUUAAGGUUACAUAGAAAGACUAUCUUUUAAAAAGGUGGGGGAGCAAAGCACCCUUCUAUUUCAAUAAGGAGUGCUACGCAAAUUUAUUCUUUGCCUUCAGUAUUCUGCUUAACCUGGGGGAAACAGUUCCAGAACUAUGCAUCCUUACAACACCACAGUGCCUUGCCUAAAUCUGUUUACUUCUUCACACAGAUAUGUAGUCUUUAAGCCAAGUCUGAUCAUAUCACUAAGCCCCACUCUUCAUAUUCUACGUGGUAUAAAUAACUGUAAAUUUCCCAACAAAGAUAUAUCAAUAUAACAUGCACAAUUCUCAGUUUUUUCCCUUAAAAAUCUGAUGCAUUAUGCUAAAAAGGGGAGGAUAUUUUCAAAGAGACGGAAAAAUCUUUAGAGUAGAAAUCUCUUAAUCUCACUAAAAAGAUUUCUUCUAAGAGUCAAAAUGCAGCCAGGCAUUGUAACUGUUUCUUUUUUUUCAAAACCUAUUUUUAAUGAAGGUUCUUAAAUGCUUUAACCUCCCUUCUAGCCCACCACCCACCAGAGGUAGUGGAAAAGAAAGGAUGUCGGGCAAGUGGGACUGUUUAGGGAUGGUUCUUUGGACUAACUCCCAUCUGUGUUGUCAGGAAGUCAGCAGCUCGGUUCACUAGAAAGCACCUCAUAAAAUAUCAGCAGUCCAGUUCAGUAGAGUUGGGUCAGCAGCAGCAGUGGCAUGACCUAGCAGGAACAGCCAGGCCUCAGCCUCUGUGCACAACAGCAGGAGGGCCCAGGAGGGAAUGCCAAGUAAAGCUCUCAGCUGUGCCUCUGUCAGUGAAGAAAGAUCGGUGAAGAUGAGAAACCAACAAGUCUUACACAGCUUGGAGGCGAGCCAAGCUCAGCCUCCAUCACUGUCUGUCGAGUCCCAUUUAUACCCUCUAAACCUUACAUGUCCUCCAGGGACCUUGAUUCAGCAAGUGUCUUGCCUCAGCACGUGCAUCUACCUCAGCUGAUAUCACUCCCUCCAGCCUAUUUUUAAAAGAGAAAAAUUCUCAAACCAGAUUAUAGAGCUGAUUACAGAGCUAAAUUAUAAGGUUUUAAUUUAUGAUUGUUAACUUUAUGAUUAUGCAUAAGAUGUACAUUUAGUUGUAGCUGUAUUUGAAUUUUGAUCUCCCCCCCCCCAGGCUCAGUGAUGUGCUUCGAUUCCCUGUCAUAAUGUAGGACAGCUACAGCUAAUAGAAGUUCCCUGGGAACCACAAGAUCAUGAUAUAAACAACCAAUAUUUGGCGCUAUUCUGAUUUUCUCAGCUAGAAUGUUCAGUAAACUGUGGGGUUGAAUAUACUUUGGACUUUGAUGUUUUCAACUUAGCUGGAUUUGAUAGGAGAGAACCCUGCAAUGAAUUAAAAAGCAUCUACACGUGGCUAUUAAGGACACCCAAAACUUUAAAACCGUGGAAUAUAGAAUGGACUUAUAAUUGAUAAAGCUCUCACCAUAUCUGUCUCUCCAAAGCCCUUUUUAGAUAUGCCACAUUUUUCAGUGGCUAAGGGACACCCUCCAGAAAGUACAGCAGAAGUAACCAAAGUAAUCCACCGAAGAGAUAUUUCUGAUAAGAAAGAGGACUCUUUAUCUCUGUCCUCCAAAAUACAUGAGCUCUGGAGUGGUGGCUACUGUGUCAGUUCUUGUGUUCUUUCUGAACUAAGUUUAAGUUAUCUUUGUUGUAUCUGCCUGCUCCCUGGGUUGACAUAAUUGAGUGAUCAAACACCUUUUAGGAGAGUCAGGUAUGUGAUGGGCACCAACAACACCAGCAUUAGAGAAGAAAGCAAGAGGGUCAUAGUAAGUUUCAGGCUAGCCCCAGGCCACAAAGGCAGACCCUGUCUCAAAAGCAGAAAACAAACAACCACCAUUUAGCAGAAUUCAUCUACCAAUACAGAGUGUUGGCCCAAUCCCUUUGAAAGGACUGAACAUCAUGGGGGAAUUCUUUGUCCAAGUUAGAGUAACUUGAUAAUGCUUAGGCUAAUAAAAGUGAAAGUACCCCAUGUCAGCAAAGAAUCACAUUCAGUCUCACACUGGAAAGGGGAAGCUAUAGGACAGAGCUUGUUCACAGUAAAAGGUGGCAUUGUAAACUGUUAUAUGUAGGGGCUGGAGGAGGCAGAAAAUGCCUUGUGGACAAAAGCUGACAAACUUCCAACUGGCUGGAUGACCAAAUCAGUAUCAUUGCAGGACAAGAACCCUGGACCUCUAGCUGCACACCCAGUAGGUUGCAAGUUCUGAGCGUAGUGGAGGCAACUUUAAAUAUGCUUGCCUUGGUAGAGUCAGCAUUGAGAAAAGGAGGAAAGAAACUUCCACUCCAGAUGAAUAUGCAAAGAAAACUUCAGAACAUGGAUAGGUUUCAUGGCUCAUAUAUGAAAUCCCAGCACUCAGAAGUGAAUCUAAAGUCAGCCUGGGCUGUAUAGAAAAAAGUUUAGGGCAUGAAGAAUAGCAAGAUCUAAGUAACAAAAUCAAUCACAGAAAAUUAAUUAAAUGCUUUUGAAAUACAGUUGUAAACUGCUCUUGAAAAUUAUUUUAAAGAGAGUAUGUUUAAGAACCUCAAGAAAGAAAUGAAGCAAUAGCAUACUUUAAAGAAUAUUAGAAAGAUAGAAAAACCAUAUUAAAUUAAGAACCACCAGAUUAAAAAAUAAACAACUUAACAUCCUGUAAAUAAAAAAAUACAGCUAUAUGAGGUUUACGAAAUUGAUGAACUACAUAUGCAAGCCAUCCUCUUUGCGUGGCACUGUCAAUGGAGACUUAUGCAUGGCAGAGCCACGUCCUAACUUUGUACAGUCUUAUGACAAGUGAACACAGUUCUGAUAUGCACAGGUUCAGUUAACAUGGCACCGUGCAUUCCAACAAAAACAAACUCAAGGUCAGAAUUAAUGAAUUUUGCAAGUUGUACAAAGACAUAUUAAAUUAAUAACCAAAAAUUAAGAAAAAUAAACAACUUACAUCCUGUAAAUAAAAAAUACAGCUAUAAAAGGUGAAAACAAGGGCUGAAAAGAUGGUUCAGUGGUUAAGGGGGUAUACUGCUCUUAUAGAGGACUCAAAUUCAAUUCUCAGUGCCUAUGCUGGGUAGCUUAUAACCAUCUGCAACUUCAGAUCCAGGGCAUCCAACACUCUCUUCUGGCCUCCAUACCCAUACUCACGUUCACGUACACCCAGAAAUAUUUACAUACAACAUAAUUAAAAUAAAAUAAAUCUUUUUAAAAAUAAACUAUUAAUGAGAAAUUAGGAGAAAUGAAGAUUAGAUUAGUGGAGAGAGAUACAAUAAAUGUAUUAGGGUCUCCAGAAGGAAAUACUGACAUAAAACUUUUAGAUUAUUGUCUUAGAGUUUUAUUGCUGUGAACAGACACUGUGGUCAUUGCAAGUUUUAUAAAGGACAACAUUUAAUUGGACUGGCUUCCAGGUACAGAGGUUCAGUCCAUUAUUAUCAAGGCAGGAACAUGGCAGCAUCCAGGCAGGCAUGGCAUAAGAGGACCUGAGAGUUCUACAUCUUCAUCUGAAGGAAGCCAGGAACAGACUGGGCAUCCUCAGGCAACUAGGAGGAGGGUCUCCAAGCCUAGCCCACAGUGACACACUUCUUCCAGCAAGGCCAUACCCUCUAAUAGUACUACUCCCUGGGCUGAGUAUAUGCAAACCAUCACAAUUAUAAAGCAUAUAUUAUGUAGAGAGAGGUGUUGGGUUUGGAGUAGAAGUUGAGAAAACAUACUUUAGACACAGAAGCUUAGAGUGAAAGCUAUAUUUUCUAAGCAUUCAGAGAGGCAGCCAGUUUGGAAUCUGAACUGCAUCCCCAGAGGGAAAUUGUACAACAUUUUAAAAAGAUGGGAACACAAAGCAAGGGGGACCUGGGAGCUUCAAUGUCAUCCAAUUGUAUUUUGACAUUAUGGUUUAAGCAAGGAAGUAUCCAUUGGAGACUGAACUGUAUCCAGGGCACCUGAUUUCAAGGCCCUUAAUUCUCCUAGAUUUUAGGUCCAGAACUCAGAGUAAUAGGGGGACAAGAGAAUAAGUUAGCUACAUGUAGUUCACUGGGAAAUAACAGACAAUUUGCUUAUAUAUUUUUAUAGCUUAUGCACCUUGAUUUAGAUAACAAUUUCUAUAUUCUUUACCAGUUAACAGACAGUUCAGAAAACAUUUGGAGAAGUGGGAAACAUGUUUGUUCCUAGGCCUGGAACUUGUUUGACCUUGCCAAUAAGAUGGAGAAGUUGGCCCUGAGAUGGCUGGACUCAGACAACUGUUUACAAUAGAAGCUGUUCAGCUAUAGGAAAGUCUCCAGUUCCUCUAGGGCCUGGGACCUUGAAUUUAGUUUCUCCCUAUGAUUAAAUGGAAUCUGAAAAUAAAAUGAUAGUACUUAGAAUAAUUUAUUUUGCUUGUUCCCAACAGAAUGAUAUAUAAAAAUAAGAUCAACCAUGACACAAUAUAGCAAAGCUAUAGAACAAAAGGAUUUAAAGAAGAAAAAUGUAAAAGCUAACAAAAUGCAAAGAUAAUGACAUGAUUUAAAAUAUCCUAAUGGCAGACUCCCCUUCUCAGCAGAAUAUACUCAAAGACCAUAGAGGAGUGUCUUCUAGCAUUAAAGGAGGAGAGCAACAUGAGUUUUUAUACCCAGCUAAACAACGCCGCCAUAAUAGAGACAUUUAAAACCUGAUGAGUGCUUAAUGAGCGAACAAUUUGGGGGUAUACUUUAGCAAAAGACUGGGUGGGGGAAGAAUACACAAAGAGGAAUGUAAUAAACAAGAAAUUAAGCCUAUGAAAAGGACUUCAACAGGACUCUUCAGAUAGCUUGACAUGUGUCCCCUAACAACCAGGAACAUAGAGCAAUAGAUGUCUAAUUCUCAGUAGAAUACUAACGAAAUUUAGGGCAACAUAGUAGAGACUAUUUGAAACACAACACACUUACUUUCCACACAGAACUAAAGAGCUUGGUCCUAGCAAUUCUAGAGGAAUUGGAAAUAAUACAAAGGGAACAAGAAUCACAGGAAUUCAGCAGAGAUUUCUUAAUUACUCCAUGAAAGUGCUAAUGAGAAAGAUUUGUGCAGAGAAUCUGAAACAAUUUUAUAAUAGUUCUGAUCAAGAACUUUUCUAUACUCAGUUCAUUUCCUUUCUCUUUAUUUCAAAGAAAAGUUCAGUAAGAGCAACUACUAGGCAGAAAAAGAGGAUGUCAGCAAAGAGAGAAGUAUCUGAUUAUGUAUUCCCUCCCUGGAGUACACAUUCUGGCCUGUAGAAGGUCUUAAGUGGAAGGAUAGAGAAAACACAAACACCACAGGGAACUGAACUUAGAACUUCAUGUGACCACUGUUUAUUUUAUUAUCUGUCAGCAUUGACUGACUUCCAGUUUUCAUCAAAAAGUAGGAAAGAGUCCAUCUCCAUUGAGGAAGUUUAAUAAGAGAUAAACAUGAAGUUGCUUCUGAUACACCAGUUACAAGAAUUUCAAUCAAAAGUUGUAACCAGAGAUCUAAAAUAAGCCAGUAGGACCCAUCCUUGCUUAUGAACACUAUCCAUGUAUCAAUGAACCUUAAUCAACUUAUACCAGAGGAACUUCUCCUACUUCACAUCUCAUUUCUCCCAAAGGGGAGGAAAUCCUUUUUCCCAUAGUUCAUCCUGGCUUUCUUUUCCAGAAUGAAUAAUGAUGAUCUAAUCCACCUUCCCCUCCCCAUGGGGAGUAUAAUCUGCCUAGUGAGCCACAUAAGCAAGUGAUGCCUAUAAUGAAUCUCCUCAAUUGGUUAGUGAAACUUCUGAUCUUCAUAGAAAGAAAGCAUCCUUGAGUCUACCCAUGUUGAGCUUGAAUACUUUCUUUGAAUACUACCAGAUCUUUGCUACAUACUUUUCUCCAAUAAAAAACAGUUUGGUGACAAUAUGACUCCUAGUAUGACUUCAUCUGAGAUCUAAUCUAGGUUUUGCUUAAUCUUUUGUCAGUUUAGACAAGAAGAUAUUAGCUCCUUGAUACAGUAUUCACAUUCAAGAUUUAAGGCAAACAAUGUGUCUACAAGAGGCAUACUAUACCCAGGAUAUGAAAUACCUCAAGUUAUUUCUCUCACUCACAAACUUCAAGCAUCAGUUGCAUAAGAGAAGAUUUCUCCACAAAUCAAGAAGUUCUUCAGCAGACAUUAGCUUAGAUGACCUACAUUCUGAGUCAUUUCUGACACCAUGUGCCUGUAGGUACAAUCAGAUACCAUGGGAUAGGAUCUCCAUCCUUCAGCACUACCCUCUUCACAUGCUAACUAUGAGUGACAGGUUGCUUUAACCCAUGCUUCUGACCAACUGGCUAUGAGUUGCUACCACCUCCUCAGGUCUAAUCUUCAGGUCUUAUCUGCUGAGUGGCUCACAUAACCUGGGGGAACCCUUACAGUGCUGACUGGUUAAAAGGAUUACAGACAAGACAAACCAAGAACCAGAUGGAGGAGUUGAAAGCAUCAAGUUUUGCUCUGCCACUUGAGUAAAGGCUACUGUAGAUAAUACAAAGGAGCAGAAGUCAGUCAUGAAGAGGCAAUUUCUAUUAUAAAAUGGUCCUUCAUGAUGUCAGGCUAGAUAGAUGGUGAGUCAUUGCUUUGCCGCCAUCUAAGUGCAGUACAUUUAUGGAAACAUGUGACUUUCCCUAAUCUCUUCCAUGACUUCCUAAUUGCUGCCUCCUUCGCUCCUCACCUUUCUCUGCCUUCCUCUGUGUCCCUUCCUUAAUUCUCACUUCUCUAUAAUGUCUUGAAUAUGUUCCAAUUUCUGAUCGAAACAGUCACAUAACCAAAUGUCAGUCUCCAUCAUUUCUGAGCUGGCCCCAAGUAAGAAGUGCCCCAAGAUCAAAUAAUGGUCAGUAAUCAGAAAUGAAAUGGUAAGUCAUUCAGGUAUUUUUGCUAAGUCAUGGUGACUCUGAACCCGAGUUACAAGCAUUACAAUUAAAAUCCAGCUGUAAAACAUGUAUUGCAACAGUGCAUUGUGAGACAUGAUAAUGUAGAGUAAACCCACAGGCUGAGGCAUUAGGGCAAUGGGUUUGAAGCCAGCCUGGGCUACAGACAGCCCUUGUUUCUAACAAAACAAGCAAAGAAGAUCGAGCAGAAACUGCCCAUGACAGGAAACAGAGGGGGCGGUGGAGGAGCAGGGAGAAACUGGGCAGUUUUAUUGAUGAGCAUCAGAAGCAUGACUGGCCAACUUUGAGACUGAGAUAUGGUACUCACAAACAUUAUUUAAAACUAACCCCAUCAGCUACCUGCUUGAGGCUGAAACAAUAUGUUCCCCAAAAAUGCUGUAUGAACUCUCAGUUUCCCUAACAAGAUGGAGCUGAAACUUGGUUGCUAAAUGCAAUGGUUAGUAUUAAUUGUCAACUUGAUACAAUCUAGAAUCACUUGGUAAGAGAGUCUCGGUAAGAAAUUGUCUAGAUCAGCUUGGCCUGCGGACAUGUCUGUGGAAGAUUAUCUUGAUUUCGUUAAGUGGUUGGGGGGAGAUCCAACCACGUGAGUGGCACCAUUUCCUAGGCAGAGAUCCUGGCUUGUGUAAGAGUGGAAAAAGCAAGUAUUGAGCACAUACACUUUCUGGAAUGCUCUGGACUGUAGAUGUGACCAGCUGUUUCAAGUUGCAAACAUCUACUCUUCCCAGAAAUGGUGGGCUAUUCCCUGGAACUGUGGACCAAAUUAAACCCUUUCUCCAGUCAGUGUGAGGCCUGUGCAUGGAUCAAUUGCCGCACAGGCGCAGGUCAAGCUUAGAUUAUGUCACACAGAACAACUGUAUAUUUUCUGAUUGCUCUUCCAGAUCCAAUAAAAUCUCUACCUUUCUCCAUGCUAAAAUAGGUUCUGGGAGUCUUCAUUUUAACUGUACAUUUGUAGUUAUAUGUUUUGAAGUUUAAAUUACAAAAUGGCUAAAUCAAACUAGCACAUGCAGUACUCUGUGUUUUAGUUGGUUUCCCACUGCCAACUGAGAAAAAGAAAUGCACAUCCUUAAUAGAACUGGAAAAUGACAGAAGGCUUUUCGUCUCAGAGCCCGCCUCCAGUGACAUACUCCUAGCAAGGUCAUGUGGGAGUCUCUACAAACUCCAGCCAGGAGAGUAGCAAUCCACAUGAAGCAAGAAGGAAAUCCAGUUCAACACAACUCAGUAGGUGCUGAUAGUUCAAACUGCUAUAGUCUGUCAGUGGGCAGUUCAUUUAGGCAUAUUUAAGUACAUAUCAUUUUGGAAGAACAGUUUUCUGGUAACAAUUAUCUCAAUCCUGAGUGGAAAAAUAAAACAGAAGAAGGACAUGAUGACUAUUAAAAUGUGGAGGUUUUUUUUAUUCUAGAUAAAAGAGAGAAAACAAAUAAAGGUGAGAAUUCAGGCUGAACAUGGCUGGCAGACUAAGCCAGACCAUGAGAGAAGAGAUGGGGAGGGAGAGCAAGAGAAGAGCUCCCAACCAAGAUAGCCUGGACUAAGAGGGCAAGAGAGCAGUAUAGCCAAAAUGGCUGAGUUAUAUAGGCAUCAGGCUGGAGGACGCCUAGUCCGUAAGGGGGAGAGGUUUAGGAUAGGAAGUGAGAAGCGGGGAGGGGGGCAGUGGUGGAGGACAAAUACUGAGUGAUGCUGGGAGAGCUGGGAAGAGUCGCAGACGAUGAGGAGCACUAGGAGAGCUGGCCAGCAUCUGCUUUGAUAUAUUAAAAGGUACCUCAGCUAUUUGUCCCAGGACCUAACAAAUCCUAUCUACACAAUAGAACUUAAGUUGUUGACUACAUCAAAACUAGCUCUUCCAUAAAGAUGGGUUUUCUAUCUUAAGGGUCUAGGGGAGGAUCUGGUGUGGUCUCAGUCACAUAGAUAUAGCGUAGAAGCCAUCGAGCUAUAAAGUGCAGGUGGCACCUCUAAGAAUGGAUUCUAUUGACUGAGAAAGAAAACUAAAGAUUAAGGUCUGAGGAGGAUGAGUCUGGGAUAAACAAUCGUCAGAGCGCAGUAGGGCUUCAGAUGCGGUCUAGCCCUAUAGAUGCCAUAGAUCACAGUGCUACUUAUGACAUCCACUCCUAGGCUUCUGGGUAGAAAAUAGGUAUACAUCUCCUCCAUUGAGGAGAGAGCCGUGCAUGUUUAAUAUUCCCAGUUUCCAUAGUUUAUCUGUGAGCACGAGGACCUUGUGCCCUCUGUAGACCAUACUUCCUAAACCUACCCAGACAGCACUAGCAACUGGGGGCCAACUGUUCAAAUAAAUACGCAUGUGGGAGAUAUCAAACUACCACAAUCCCUUACCUCUCCUCAAACACUAUACGUUGUUCCUUCAUCAUAAUUCUCUCAAUGAUCUCUUCAAUGCUGUUUUCUGUUAGGCUCCUGACUGAUAUAAAUUGUACAAAACAAAAUAAUGAGAUACAUUUUGAAAGGAAGUUUCUAGAAAUAGUGUAUGGCCAUGCCUCAUACAAUUCUAUGGUUAGGGCGGCAAUUCUCAAACUCUAGACCUUAGAACUUAUUUAAACAUUUUUUAAAAUUAUGGGAAUCACAAAGGGCUUUCUUUGGUUAAUGUUUGACAUUAAAUAUCUCUCCAUCCAUCUAUCCAUCCAUCCACCUAGUAUGUGUACAUGUGCAUAUAAUUAGAAUUGACAACUAAGAAAUUUUAAGUAUGCAAUUAUUUGUUUCAUAGUAAGAUAACACACUCAUUGUUAAUGUAAGUUAUAUAUUUUUAUGAAGAGGAACUACACUUUUUAAUGCUACUGAGAUUAUACUAAUAAUACUUGCUUUACAUUUUUUUUGCGAGGGCCUUCAUUGUCUGGUACAACGAAAGACAGAGUCCCGUCUCAGCCUCACGUUCCUUCUCUUGCACUAUCACGUCAGGGAACUUUGGAGAACUCUACACAUGAGUGUGAAAAAGAAUAAGAAGGCAGAUAACAGCUGACCAGUGAGAUAGCUUUGGUGUUGUUGAGGCUAUAAGGGAGUCUCAACAGUAUUUUCCAAAUCAUACUUUGGAAAUCAAAUUUUUGGAACAGACUAAUGGGCCCUGGCUUAGAAGUUACGAUCCUUGGAUUUUCGACAACUCUGCUGCCUCCUAGCAAUUCAAUCUUGAGGAAGUGAUUUCCACGUGACUAAGUGAGAUCUGAACAGGAGAACUGAAGACCCGAGGAAUAUUGCUCACACUAAUUCUUUGUUCAUCUGUGAGCUGGUGCCAAGGGAGAUAGAUGAUCGCUGCCUUUGAGUCACUGUGGAAGUUAAUUUAUGGGAUGUCAAAAUGAUUCACCUGCAUGCUACCUUCUAAAGGCGGCGGUGUCUACUUGGCCUGAGAUGGACUGGCAAACCCGUUUGGCUACUGUGGGACUGGCAUACCCUCUUAUCAAAAUAACAGCCACUCUCCCACAUUUGUACCCAGAGAAUUUUUUGUCUGGUUGGGUUUGGUUGUUACUGCUUGUUCAUUGCUAUCCAUGAAACCAUUCUCCCCUGUUGUGGAGAUCAUAAACAAAAGGUACCAGGGUAGUAGACAUGUUAAGACAACUGUGGCACAUUUAUAGGAAAAAGACUUUGAUGACUUUCUUGGCUCAGAAUGAGGAAUUUUUCCUGACUCUUCCUUAAAGAACAAAUAAAAAUUUCGCAUGA